UACGAAGGGGGGCUAGCGUUGCUCGGAAUUACUGGGCGUAAAGCGCACUAGGCGGCUUUCUAAGUCGGGGGUGAAAUCCUGGAGCUCAACUCCAGAACUGCCUUCGAUACUGGAAGCUCGAGUCCGGGAGAGGUGAGUGGAACUGCGAGUGUAGAGGUGAAAUUCGUAGAUAUUCGCAAGAACACCAGUGGCGAAGGCGGCUCACUGGCCCGGUACUGACGCUGAGGUGCGAAAGCGUGGGGAGCAAACAGG
rnacentral:rRNA from 1 species